rnacentral:rRNA from 1 species
GACGAACGCUGGCGGCGUGCUUAACACAUGCAAGUCGAACGGAAAGGCCCUGCUUUUGUGGGGUGCUCGAGUGGCGAACGGGGGAGUAACACGUGAGUAACCUGCCCUUGACUUUGUGAUAACUUCAGGAAACUGGGGCUAAUACCGGAUAGGAGCUCCUGCUGCAUGGUGGGGGUUGGAAAGUUUCGGCGGUGGGGGAUGGACUCGCGGCUUAUCAGCUUGUUGGUGGGGUAGGGGCUUACCAAGGCUUUGACGGGUAGCCGGCCUGAGAGGGUGACCGGCCACAUUGGGACUGAGAUACGGCCCAGACUCCUACGGGAGGCAGCAGUGGGGAAUAUUGCACAAUGGGCGGAAGCCUGAUGCAGCAACGCCGCGUGCGGGAUGACGGCCUUCGGGUUGUAAACCGCUUUCGCCUGUGACGAAGCGUGAGUGACGGUAAUGGGUAAAGAAGCACCAGCUAACUACGUG